UACGGAGGGUGCAAGCGUUGUUCGGAAUCACUGGGCUUAAAGGGUGCGUAGGCGGGCUGUCAAGUCUGGGGUGAAAUCCCGCGGCUCAACCGUGGAACUGCCUCAGAUACUGAUGGCCUCGAGGGGGGUAGGGGCAUGCGGAACUGUAGGUGGAGCGGUGAAAUGCGCAGAUAUCAGGGGGAACACCGAUGGCGAAGGCAGGUGGCUACGUUUGAUUUGACACUGAGGCACGAAAGCAUGGGGAGCAAACAGG
rnacentral:rRNA from 1 species